rnacentral:rRNA from 1 species
GACGGAGGAUGCAAGCGUUAUCCGGAAUGAUUGGGCGUAAAGCGUCCGUAGGUGGCAUUUCAAGUCUGCUGUCAAAAACCGUAGCUUAACUACGGAAAGGCAGUGGAAACUGAAAAGCUAGAGUGCGGUAGGGGCAGAGGGAAUUCCUGGUGUAGCGGUGAAAUGCGUAGAGAUCAGGAAGAACAUCGGUGGCGAAAGCGCUCUGCUGGGCCGCAACUGACACUCAGAGGACGAAAGCUAGGGGAGCGAAUGGG